GACGAACGCUGGCAGCGUGCUUAACACAUGCAAGUCGAACGGAAAGGCCCUGCUUUUGUGGGGUGCUCGAGUGGCGAACGGGUGAGUAACACGUGAGUAACCUGCCCUUGACUUUGGGAUAACUUCAGGAAACUGGGGCUAAUACCGGAUAGGAGCUCCUGCUGCAUGGUGGGGGUUGGAAAGUUUCGGCGGUUGGGGAUGGACUCGCGGCUUAUCAGCUUGUUGGUGGGGUAGUGGCUUACCAAGGCUUUGACGGGUAGCCGGCCUGAGAGGGUGACCGGCCACAUUGGGACUGAGAUACGGCCCGGACUCCUACGGGAGGCAGCAGUGGGGAAUAUUGCACAAUGGGCGGAAGCCUGAUGCAGCAACGCCGCGUGCGGGAUGACGGCCUUCGGGUUGUAAACCGCUUUCGCCUGUGACGAAGCGUGAGUGACGGUAAUGGGUAAAGAAGCACCGGCUAACUACGUGCCAGCAGCCGCGGUGAUACGUAGGGUGCGAGCGUUGUCCGGAUUUAUUGGGCGUAAAGGGCUCGUAGGUGGUUGAUCGCGUCGGAAGUGUAAUCUUGGGGCUUAACCCUGAGCGUGCUUUCGAUACGGGUUGACUUGAGGAAGGUAGGGGAGAAUGGAAUUCCUGGUGGAGCGGUGGAAUGCGCAGAUAUCAGGAGGAACACCAGUGGCGAAGGCGGUUCUCUGGGCCUUUCCUGACGCUGAGGAGCGAAAGCGUGGGGAGCGAACAGGCUUAGAUACCCUGGUAGUCCACGCUGUAAACGGUGGGUACUAGGUGUGGGGUCCAUUCCACGGGUUCCGUGCCGUAGCUAACGCUUUAAGUACCCCGCCUGGGGAGUACGGCCGCAAGGCUAAAACUCAAAGGAAUUGACGGGGCCCCGCACAAGCGGCGGAGCAUGCGGAUUAAUUCGAUGCAACGCGUAGAACCUUACCUGGGUUUGACAUGGAUCGGGAGUGCUCAGAGAUGGGUGUGCCUCUUUUGGGGUCGGUUCACAGGUGGUGCAUGGCUGUCGUCAGCUCGUGUCGUGAGAUGUUGGGUUAAGUCCCGCAACGAGCGCAACCCUUGUUCACUGUUGCCAGCACGUUAUGGUGGGGACUCAGUGGAGACCGCCGGGGUCAACUCGGAGGAAGGUGGGGAUGACGUCAAGUCAUCAUGCCCCUUAUGUCCAGGGCUUCACGCAUGCUACAAUGGCUGGUACAGAGAGUGGCGAGCCUGUGAGGGUGAGCGAAUCUCGGAAAGCCGGUCUCAGUUCGGAUUGGGGUCUGCAACUCGACCUCAUGAAGUCGGAGUCGCUAGUAAUCGCAGAUCAGCAACGCUGCGGUGAAUACGUUCCCGGGGCU
rnacentral:rRNA from 1 species